UUAGGAUCUGCAGCCAGCAUACCAGUAAACUCUAUCAGCUGGGGAUGAUGGAAUUUAUAGUUCAAUAUAUCUCUGGGGAGAUGGUAAGAUUAGGAAUGACUGGUUUAGAAUAUUCCCCCUUAAUGUAUCAUGUAAUUCAGCAAUCUGUGCCACAAGUUUAAUUUAUUAGGUCCACAGAUUACACCAAAUUAUAUUUGAAUUUUACCGUCUCUGUCUCUCUUUCUAACAUAGCCAGAUUGUAAGCAAGCAUCCAACACACCUGAAUCAUGCCUUUCCCAAAACCUGUGGGACACUGGGAGGAUCAUCAGAUCACUGUCUAAACUGCACAGAUAAUUUUUAAUAUUCUCUCCCUCUGGCAUGUCAUGCUUAGGAGAUAUCUCUAUCUGAGGCAUUUUUAGAGCCUCAGAUAUGUUGACUGGGGGCUGAACAGGUUUUCCUGCAUCUAUGCCAUGGUCUGGAUCAGGGGUCCUCAAACUUUUAAAGCAGAGGGCCAGUCCACAAUCCUUCAGACUGUUGAGGGGCCAAAUUAUCAUUUGGGGGAAAAAACCGAACAAAUUCCUAUGCACACUGCACAUAUCUUAUUUGUAGUGCAAAACAACAAUAACAAUGAAAGAACAAUGCAAUAUUUAAAAAUGAAAAUAAUUUUAACCACCAUAAACCUAUCAGGAUUUCAAUAGGAAGUGUGGGCCUGCUUCUGGCCAAUGAGAUAGUCAGGUUAAUUAGGGUUGUUGUUGUUGUUGUUGUUGUUGUUGUUGUGUGUCUUCAAGUCAUUUCUGACUUCGGGCGAGCCUAAGUCCAAAAUUAUUUAUUUAUUCAUUUACUACAUUUAUAUCCCACCCUUCUCACCCCAAAGGGAACUCAGAGCAGCUGUAUGUACAUACAAUAUAUUAUAUUAUUAGCAUAGCACAAUAUUAGCAUUAUACUAUAUUGAACUAUACCACUAUACUGUAAUAUUAUAUGUAAUAUAUAACAUAUAAUUAAUAUUAUUAUAUGGUAUUAUUGUUAGCAUUAUAUUGUAUAAAAUGAUAAUAUUCUUAUCAAUAUUAUAUGUAUAUACAAUAUAUUAUAUUAUUAAAACUGAUAUAAAAAUAUUAUAUUAUAAAUGAGGGUGGGGGCCAGGUAAAUUACCUUGGAGGGCCGCAUCUGGCCCCCGGGCCUUAGUUUGGGGACCCCUGGUCUGGAUGGUGGGAGCAAAUGAAAAAGGCAAGAAAUACCUUGCCUGCUGAAAAUCAAAUGUUUCAAAAUGAAGUUCUUGCUGAACAUUAAGAGGAAUCAUUUUCUAUGACAACGAGAGCCAUGGUAAAAUCUGCCUGUGCUACCCCCUUGAAAGACAAAUUAUAGACAGAGAAAUACAGGUCCUUUUUCUACAACUCUGCAGGAACAAACAGUUCUGUCCUGUUCACUCACUUCUUCUGCACAGAUGCGUAAUGCCUUAUCACACCUAAAGCAGACUUUGUGAGCUGGACUGAUAGACAGAGCACAGCUAUCUCUCUGCACAUACUACUUCACAUCGCAUACUGUCACAUCACGAGUCACUCUGUGCUUGAUGUAAUCGAAACCACCAAGAAGUGAUUGUCCCUUCAAAAUAUAGAGCUGAAACAAGAGCACCAGUGCCAUUUCAGACCCUUUUUUCCAUGCCUAAGUACUAGAAUGGCCCACGUUGUUUAUACAAACAAUUGGUUUCCAUGUAUCUACUCCAAAAUAGGACUGAGAAGGGAAUAUUGAGAGCCUUGGUCAAAGAUUGCUCCCAGGUAGGGCUCCACAAACUCCUAUUCCACUGUUUCUUCCCUGCAAAUCAUUUGGGAAAGCAAACUAUAUUUCUAACUAUACUUCUUUUAUAUUUAUAAAAAACCAAGGCUAAAUUUAUGAGACCAAAGACUAAACAACAGGAUUUCUUAGUCCUUGGAGUUUAUUUCAGACCUCUAGCCAGUCAAGCAGAAUUGCGGAACUCUUUGCCAAAGGCACACUGUAACUUACUAUCUAACAAAGUGAGCUUUAAGUCACUUAAAACUACAAUAACAUAGUUAAUUGGCACAAAACGGUGUUAUUCUAUAUGCUGGCUGGGAUAUUCUGGGAGAUGUAGUUCAUACAGACAAACACACACAUAUUAAAUGUUAACUGGAGCUUGUUACAGGGUACACAUUGUUCCCUUGUUGUAACAGGUUCACUGUCUGCCAGCGCAUUUCUGGGCAUAAUUCAACAUGCUUGUUAUGACUUACAAAGACCUGCGCAGGCUAUCUGACUGACUUUAUUAUCCUAUAAAGAACUGCCUGAGCACUGAGAUGUAGUUCUUUCAGUCCUACCACGCUCACAGGUGUUAACAGAUGUACUCAUUUCCCAGGGAGCCUUGAAUGAACCCCUCUUUGCUGUCCUUCUCUCAUCAGGCAUGGAGGUUGUGUUAUUCAAUAGGCUUUUAGAAUUGAAGGUUUUGCAAGGGAAGAGUGCUAAAUUGUUUUAAACUGUGCUGUUUUAAAACUGGCUUUAAUCUUUUUAUACAUUAAAUUUGCUUUAAUACUGUUAAUAGUUUAAUACUAUUUUAUGUCAAAUUGUUGUUUAAUUUUAACUUUCUUACAAACAUUUUGAUUUUUAAGCUCCCCUAGAUUUGAAGGAAAGACCAGAUGUAACAACAACAACAACAACAACAACAACAACAACAACAACAACAAAGCAGAGACCGCUUUGAGUCCUAGCCCGAGAGAAAAACAGGAUAUAAAUAAAAGGAUGGAUGGAUGGAGUAAGACUUUCAUGUGUUUUUAAGUGCAUUUUUUUUCCUGGAUGGACAUGUACACUUGGGAAUAUUGAAGAGAGGAAAACCCCUUCAGGGAAAGCAUUGUAUGAAAUGCUGCCUUUCGUUUCUUCCUACCAAAUCCUUUUCUUCUCAAGGAACGUCCUCCUAAAGACCUGAGGUCCACAGCAAUUACAGAACACAGGACCCAAGACAACUAAGGAGACUUCAUUUUGCAAUCAGAUAGAAAGAGGCAACCAGCAUUCUCCCUUUACUCUUCUGUUCUCCCUCUGCUCACCUACCCUACUAAUGCCAGCUGUCUGUCAUGAGAUAAGCAGAGCUCAGUAAAUGAUGAGUAAGAAAACAAGUUAUUGCAACUGGGCUCUGAAUAUAGACUGGUAUCUUGUUACAGAGAGUACAAAGGACUCCUUGGGAGAAAGAGGAGGGGAAGCAUCAGUACCACUCCUAGUGGUACAGGGGAGACCUGCCAAGAAAGCAAAGCUAUUGAAAUACAGGCAGUAAGUUAAAACUCAGGCACUAGGGUAGCAUUCAUUUUUUCUUAUUACUUUAAUGUUCUUUGAACACUGACAUUUGUAUCAUGUUGGCUUAUGCAUUAUUCAGAUUUUAUUCUGUCUCCGGGGUUGUGGCUAGGCUGGCUUACUCUCUGUUGUCCUACUAUCCUUUCAUCCAGGCAGGCAUUUAACAACUGACUGCUAUUAAGAAAAAGACUUUUAAUUAGUGAACUCUAUAAUUUUUUAGACACUAAUACAUUUUUAAAUUACUUUGCAAUUGAAGACUGUUUCCAUUUUACAAUUUGUUUAACUCUAAAUAUAAUUUAUAGUCAUAUCGGGAAUUUUGUUCAAAGCAGCCUUAAACUCCAGCACUUGGACAGAGAAAGGAUAUAAAGUAAAUAAACAAGUCAAUACAUUCCA